AAGAAAACGCUAUGUAAAGUUGUCUUAAUAAUCGUUUACUGAAGAAGGCCUUUGGCCGAAAUAUUUAAUAAAAGAAUUCCAACAAAAGUUUUCGUCGUCCUGUUUGGUCUGUUUGUAAUGAUCGUGUUUACCUCCGCCCAAGUAGAGUUCGGUGCGGGGUCGGGGCUAUUGCUCGGAUUACCUAUUAUUUUGCUGCUUUUCCUAAUACCGCUGCUGACAUCAAACAACGGAGGGGGAUCGGGACGGACUACUUUUGUAUUUGGAAAUUUCUCCGCACCGUCGGGUGGGAAGUAAUCUGUAUGCUGGGCUGUGGACACAGAAUCAUCAUGGAUUUUUUGGUUAUUUCAUCACAAUAAAAACUAAUCUCGAUAUGUCUUUGAAUUGAACAAAAUAGAAAUAUUCAUAAUAUAAAACGAGUCAUGGCCUUACAAGAUAUGCGUACCGCUCGUGGAACCAUUUCGCAUCGUGACCAUAGCAAACAUUCUUAGCAGACGGACAGAAAAUAACUUGACAACCUGAAGAUGAAGUAUGUUUAAUUCACCGGCAAUCCCCAUCUUAUCACAUAUUGCCAUUUUAUAUCUGUGUAAGCAAACACCCAAUGUGUUCGCUUGAUUAUAAUGUUCGCGUCUCCUCCGUUUAUUUAACACAACUCGUUAACUUGAAGUAAUCGAUGACAUACUAUGGACCUAGCCCCUAGGCGCGCGUCGUUCAGUAUAAGGUUUGAUUGCUGAACGAAUAAUUUGUUUUGUUUUAUAAUUAAAUAUACAAUAUACUAAUGUAUCAUACUUUGCAAUGGCGAAAUGCACUUGCCAAAAGAUACGUUAAGGAUUAUCGGAAUAAAUCCAGAUUUAACCCAUUUAUGCCUAGCGUCUAGAAAAACAGCGAAGACCCAGAUGAGACGCCGCAUGAUGUGGCGUCUCAUCACGGUCUGCGCUGUAUGCUUUAAGGAAUUUCUGUAAGAAAUAUUCUAAAUAUAGAAAUAAAUAUACUAGACACCCCUUUUUUGGAAAUAAAUUGAUCCAAUUAAUUAGGAUGGGAGAGUCCACUAGGCAUACAUGGGUUAAUUUCAUAUACGAUAUUACAUCACGGUUUGUUGGGAAGAACAUGGGAAGCUAUGCAUUGUUUCAAACUAAACCGAUAUUUGUAUGAUAUACGAUUUGUCAAAAGCUCAAAACGUUUCUUUAAGGAAAUUUAAAUAUAAUAAUA